ensembl:snRNA U6 U6 spliceosomal RNA
GUGCUUGCCCAGUAGCACGUAUGCUAUACCUGGAGCAAUACAGAGAAGAUUAGCAUGGCCCCCGUGCAAGGAUGACAUGCUAAUUUGUGAAGUGCUCCAUAUUUUU